UUGCGGUCAUAUCGCGUUGAAACACCGAUUCCCGUACGAUCAGCGAAGUUAAGAAACGUCAAGCCUGGUCAGUAUCUAGAUGAGUCACUGCUUGGGAAUACCAGGUACCGUAAG